rnacentral:tRNA from 1 species
GCCGCAGUGGCGGAAUUGGCAGACGCGCAGGGCUUAGGACCCUGUUCCUGUAAAAUCAGGAGUAGAGGUUCAACUCCUCUCUGCGGCA